rnacentral:rRNA from 1 species
UACGUGAGGUGGCAAGCGUUGUCCGGAUUUAUUGGGUUUAAAGGGUGCGUAGGCGGCUUUGUAAGUCAGUGGUGAAAUAUGGCAGCUCAACUGUCAAGGUGCCAUUGAUACUGCGGAGCUUGAGUCACAGGAUGAGGUAGGCGAAUUGACGGUGUAGCGGUGAAAUGCUUAGAUAUCGUCAAGAACACCUAUAGCGAAGGCAGCUUACUAGGCUGUAACUGACGCUGAGGCACGAAAGUGUGGGGAGUCAAACAGG